GAGAGAGUGAGGUUCUUAUGACGCCACUUUGGAAACCAGGAAGCAGCGGCUUAAAGAAAUGAGGUUCAUGUGGAUUCGCCAUCUGCAAACAAGAAACGAAUGUAAACAAUAUCAGUAUUGAAUUGAUUCCCAACUCCUUUUGAAAUCCUAAUUUCAAACCAGAAGAACCCGAAAUCGAUGCUAGCAGUAUCGUCUUCAAACCAAUUUUUUACAAACGCAAAAAGCCCAAAAUUCGAAUUAAAACCCUAAUUACAAACACAACAAACCCCCAAAUUGUGUUCGAAACCUAAGUUGAAACGAUAUCGAUUGAACAUGCAAACUAAUAUAUAUCGAUGAAUCUACCUUGUUCAGUCGACGGAGACAAAUCGCCGUCGUUCGCCGCGGGAAUAGCCGUCUGUCGUCGCGGGAUUCGCCUUCGCUUCGUCGAGAGAGCAAUCGCCUUUCUUCGUCGGGACUUUUUUUUUUCUGCUUCGGUCGAGAAUGACCAGUGUUUUACGCGUAACCAAACCGAAAUCUCUUCCAUCCAUUCAAAACACGCCACGUACCCUAAGGAUCAAGUCCUAAAAAUCCUUAAUAACGUAUCAAUCCUUACUCCUAUUAACCAAACAACUAUUAUUAUAAUCUUCCUAACCUAUGAUUAAACGCCAAGGACCCUGCAUGUACCUCCGUUGCGGACGCUCUUACACUCACGCACGCACUCAGCAUCUAGGCUCUUAGCUCCAACUAGGACUAGUAUAUCCGUUAAAAUGAUGCUAAAUUAACGAGUAUUGAAAAAGGUUUUGCAUUGUCGGUAGAUAGAUAUUAGGCACUGGAUAAUCCGCUGAAACUGUCGAGAUUAUUCACUUGCUUAAAAGUUACUCCCUCCGUUUCAAUUUAAAUGUCGUUCUGGAGGAAACUUUUCGUUUCAAAAUAAGUGUCAUUUUAUGAUUUCAAUGCAACAUUUAUUAAUAAGAUCUUCUGUUUAUUUUUUCAUUUGUUGAAAUAUGGUUAGGUGUAUGAGUAAUGAUGUUUUUAUUUUGAAAAUGUACAAAAUUAAACGUUUUCUUAAUCCGUGUGCAUAAGUCUAAAACGACAAAUAAAGUGAAACGGAGGGAGUAUAUCUUUGGAUCAUGCAAUAGUGUAUUUUGUUAGAGGAAAAAACUAGACAAUAGUGUAUUUUGUUAGAGGAAAAAACUAGACAUUAGUGUAAUUUCCUGUCCAUACGACUCUUCAUUUCUCUGCAUAUUGUAAUUAUUAAACAAAAUUAUCGGACUAUCCCAAUUAAAUUGCCCACUUUAGAUAUGGUUUGACUUUGCCUUCGAACUUCAAAAGUAGGAUAACGAGUGCUCUAUUUUAAUCGAUAUUUGUUAUUAUAUUUAUGACUUAGAAGCAACUUCGUGUGUCCGACCUUAGCUCAGUUGGUAGAGCGGAAGACUGUAGUUGUUGCAGAUAAUCUUUAGGUCGCUGGUUCGAUUCUGGCAGGUCGGAUUUAUUUUUCAAAAACAAAUUAAACAGUCUUUUGGGCUUUGAGAAGUAAAACCCAGCACAUAUGUUUUUGUAACAGCCAGCCCAUAUCUUUUGCCUUUGUAUUGGUAUUUGGUACUAUCUUGGAUUAGAGAUCUAGAAGGGGUAAUAAAACUGAUAAAAUGUAAAAAAAUAAAAAAAACUGAUAAAAUGUUCUUACGACAGGGAGAGAAUCCAAUAUCUGACAUUUUGCUACGUCUUUUAUGAACAGAGGAUACUAACAAGAUUUGUGAAGCUACAAGGGUCUACACUCUCCGAGGUUGUUACAUUGGAGACUCCUAUGGGAUUCAAGCGUAUGCGUUCAAUAUAUCAGUGAAGAGAUUUGGUUCGAGGAAGGUUGGAGUGAGCCAAUUUCUCUUCUUUGAAUACAAAGGAAACUAGAGUUUCCGUGUAAUGAUAUUCAAUGUUUCGGCGUGUGAGAUCGAGUAUCCACUGGAUGAAAAGUUUAUUCCAGUGUAAGCGACGAUGAGGGUACUCGACGUUACAGACGAAAUAUGUUAAUGGUGGUGAUUCAGAGUACAACCUUAAGAAGAGACGACGAGAUUGAGAAGAGUAUAUAAACUGCACUUGACUAAACCAAAAACUUGAAUUGCACCAAUAAUCAGUUCUUUGAUUCUGACGUGUAACAAGAUAAUUCUAAACAAAAACUGUAACCAGGGUCUUGUGUUGAUUCUUCUUUCUUUCAUCUCGUUCCUCCGCUUCUCUACCUCUACCCUUUAACCAUCUCUUCACCCAUUACAGUCUCUCUAUAGAUUUGCAUAGACUUCUCAACAACAUGAUAGUGUAGGGUUUUGAGUACAUGCCCUACUAGUCCAGUGGUCCAGUACCAAUAAAAAAAUCGAAGCUCAUACGAAAGCAAAGAGAUAGUGAAAAAGAUUUAAAGAAUCAACAAAAAAACAACAAACCCAUCUUCAUCAUAUCAUCUUUUCUUGGGGGCGCAAGAUUCAACACCAAACUUGAUGGAGAUUAGGUAUUUACAAACUUCUUAACCCUAACUUCUACUCCAAACAAUUUCAGUUUCACUCCGAGGAGGUUUAACUUAUCCACACCAACAAAAAAAAGAGACCAACGCAAUGACACAUAGACAGAAUUAAAAUCAACACACCCUACAAACACGAAGUUGCACCUUCAGAUUCCUCACUACUGAAUACUGAUCCACCAGUCACACCAUAGUAUCUCUGUCUCAGACAUAUUCGUUGACUCGAAAGGCCGUCACUUUCAAAACGAAAUCUCUGGUUCUCAGCAGCUCAAACGCGCAGACAUCACCUUCUCCUAAGUUAUUCUCCACAGUGAACUCAUACCAACCUUGACUGAACUUAGCUCUCCCUGCUUUGUAAAGGCAUCUCACAGGCCACUGUUUCUCCCCGAGCUGGACCUUGAUGAAUCCCGAGAUCCCACUUAAGUACUUCUCAGCAAAACCAGAAGGCAAAUACUGUUUAAAUACACAAAAAAAUAAAUAAUAGAAACCUUCUUUAGAGACACCAUUGUACAGAUACACAAAAUUAAAGGUUUCUCUUCUUAUUAUUACCAUGAUGCAACCUCUGUAUAGAUAAGACGGUCUCAGAACAACUCUGAAGAAAGGGUUUGUCGGCUCAAACGUUUUGGCUGCAUUGAUGGCUCUCUCUCUCUCUUCAGCAUUCACUGUUCUCUUUCUCGCAGAAGCACUCUCGUAGAACUUUGAACGGCUCUCAGGGUCAUCAUCUCUCGGUGCAGAUGAGUUUACUUCCUCUAGAAUGGACCAACAUCAAAAAGGAUCACUACUAAACAAGACUCUGAAGAAUCUAAAACAAGAGGAAAAAUGCUUUACCAGGAUGAUCAGCGUUCUUCUUCUUCUUCCUCCCUCUCUUUUUAGGAACUUUUGAGGUUUGUGUUGGUGUUGCCUCUUCAGGUUUAACAGGUCCAGUGAAGAAGCUCUGGAUGGCUGAAGUGGUUGUGUGCAGAGUCUCAGCAUCUUCAUCUUCAAGGUCUUCAAACAAACGGGGGCGUUUGAAGUGGUUUGCAGAGUCCAUUAGACCAGUGGAGUGGUAGUUAAUCUCGGAGUGUGGUAAGUUGUAAAUGUAGACGCUAAAGGCAGAGUUGCCUUCGUAUCUGAAGACCAAAAGGUAACCAAUGCGGAUGGAGUAACGGUGAACGAACUCUUGCCAACCAUCUUGAAACCAGAUCUUGUUGUUGUUGUCAGCUUUUCUAAGUCCUACACGCCAAACGUGACCAUCAGGUACUGUGAGUGCAACUGCAACCGAUAGCUCGUCUUUGAAUCUCCUCACAAACUUAUCUGGAACUCUCUGCACAAACCAUACCAAAAUGAAAAACAAAGAUUAUAUAAAGAUCCACAAGAUACAUUCCAAACUUUCCUGUUUCAGUUUCCAAGGCAUCAACAACUAUAACAGUCUAUUAGUAACCUGCAACAAUGUUCAUUUUAUUUUUGUAAAGAUUACUUAUGUGACUCCUGUGAUCGUAUCAAAUAAAUAAGACAUGCUUGUAACCUUUAGGUGAACUAUAGAAGCCUAUAUUAAUUAUAAAAUUUAUUCCACAAACUUAUAUGAUAAACUGGAGAAUUACAUAGUAUCUGAGUUUUUCAUACUAAUCCACAAUUUUUCAUGUGUGAAUCUGCACAAGUGAUAGCUAAUCACUGUAUCAUCUAUUGUGAAUAUAAAGUAGAUAACAAAAGCAUAAAAUGUACAUUUGUUUUUUUUUCUACACAAAAACUUUUUUUUUUAUCUUAAAGUUAAAGGAGACAAUUACUACUUAAGUUUCAGAGUUUCAUUCACAAGUCACAAGUCACAAUAAUCAAUAAGGAUUAAGGAAUCUUAAAAGCUUAUCCUCAUGAGUUCAAAAUAGAAAGUAAACAAAACAGAGAUACCACAAACAGAUCUCAACUUUUUCUGACAGAACCGUACAAUCUUAUCAUCAUCAGAAGUCAACUCACUCUUGAAACACAUUCCCAAAAACUAUCAGUUUUUUUUUGCUGUUAAUCAAAAUACAACCUUUGACCUGACAUAUCUACAGAAAAUCGACACAAUUCAACUCCAGAAGUCUAAGAAGAGUGACAAUAUGAAGAAUAAAAAAACGCAUAUUCCUGCAAGAAUACAGAGGAGGAAGAGAAGGGAGAGUUACCAGACGCUUUUCUUGGAUAGUGGAGGAGAAAAUCAACUUGUGGAAGAAAGGGCGUGGCAUGUUCAGAGCAAACAGUGACCAAGUGAUAGACCAAAGUCAGAUCAUGAAACGACGCCGGAGAAUACGCAACAGAGACAGAGGAGGCCUUUCAGAUCUGAAGGAGUUUUGUAUAAAGGCUUUUGAUUAUGGUCAAAGGGGGUGUUUACAACAACAGUCUUUUCUUUUACACUUGGCCUGGGUGACCCAACCAAACCAAAAGAAAAAUAAUUGUAAAAUAAAAAUGCUAUUUAAAAAAAAGCAACUUGUGAUUUGUCUAGGUCGAGCGAGUUGAAUCAGUGUGUUUUCUCCUUUAACUCGGUGAGUCGAAUCAGUUGUUCACUCGUGUGCCCCCACCUACUCCCCUUUUUCGACCAUCUUUUUGCUCUGAUUUUUUUUUGUUAGUAUAAUAUUUGCUUCUUUUUAGAAUGAAAAAAUACUAAUAUUUGUUUCUUUUUUUCCUUUCAAUCAAAUAUUAGUUCUUUUUGUAUCGAAAAUAUAGUUUUUCCCCUUUAACUAAUAACUAGAUAAAAAAAAAACUAAUAAUCAGAUUAUAUUAUUACUUUUUUCGACCCAAAAAAAUAUUAUUACUUUAUGAACAACAAUUUGAUAUUCUAUUAAACCCCCGUUUGCAAAUAAAUUUUAUUCUGAAAAAAUCUCAUUUAAAAACAGCAUGAUGUUAACAAUUAGGCAAAUGACGCAAACAUGUCGAAAGAGGAAUAAUGGUUUAGAUCGAAAAGCAGCAACCAUGGUGGUCUCGGGUUUAUAGUUUGGCAAUUCCUUCCUGCGUCCGAUGUUGUUCAAUUGGGUCUUGAAGACAUUCCAAGCAACGGCGUCAACUGCUUCAAGGCGGAGCCUCUUCUACCCUAAGCCCCUGCUUUCAAGGAGUAUUCACUUCUUCUGUUUUUCAAUUCCUUCCUCCUAAGCUCCGGUCCUUGUUUUUGUGUUUCCUAAGGCCAACGCUGUUCCCAUUGUGUCGCGUAGCCGGAUAGGGGGCCAUUUCGACCGUCUGCGCUUGACCGAAACCAAUGCUUCAUCUUCAUAUGGCGUUGAAAUCGGGUCUACAUGAUAGCAAGUGCCGAGCAAGCUCGAGUUUUGUUGGUCAGCGUCCUCCUCCAACGGAGCUCCGGGAUGGGAGCCAGCCGUCAUGCCUGCUUGGAGCCACUUCGGUGAAACCUGACUCUACUUUUCUUAUGGCUUUACUCUUGUUGUCUCUGGUUGCUCCAGUCUUCGAGAAGUGCUUGGAGAGGGAGAUCAAUUGUUAGUCUUUUGUUCUAGUUUGGUAUUAUGUUCAAAGCCUCCAUUGUUUGGUUAAGAUUUGAUCAUAAUUUCUUAGUGGUUUAGGGGUUUUUAAAAACUUUUUUGCACUUCUAAACUUUCAGAAUAGCUGAAAAGCAGAUUGUAGUUCCAUCAAAGCAAUGAUAUUUACGAUUUAGCAAAAAAAAACGAAGAAGGAAUAAUGGUUAUAAAAACAGAAAAAAUAAUAGUAGUGUGUUGACUCUAUCUUUGUUUUCUUGAUUUUUAAUGAUGGAUAUGACGAUGAAGGUUUUGAUUUUUGAUUAUAGUACUGUAAAAACAUUAUAAUGAUAAGCUAUAGAUUUUUAAAAGGUCUAAUUAAUGGCCUUUUUAUACAAAUGUAUUAGAAUAAAAGGCCAUAUUCUUCGAUAAUGCGUACUAACUACUAUUAUUUUUUCUGUUUAUACAUGGCAUCAAUUACAAUGUUCAUUAAGAAGUCCAAUUAUAAUACGUAUAAAUUUAGGUUUAUCAUGUAUAAAUCUAGUGAUGCCAUGUAUAAAUCCAGGCUGCAUUAUGUAUAGAUUCGGCUGGAGAUUCUUAAAUCAUUUUACGUUGUUUGACACAUAACUUCCGUCAUCCCUAAUUAGGUAGUCUUUCUAGCAAGGCGGGUCUUGUACGUAUCGAAUGGUUUAACCUUCCCUUCUUGUGAUGGGAGGAAGAACAAUGGUAUUAAGAAUGUAUCUUUGUGCUCUAUGUUCUGUAAAUUCCUGGGUAAUUAAGUGCUUCUUUAUUUAUUAUAUAUUUCAACUACAUAUUGAUAUAGAAGUAAACACAUGAGUCAUGUUCAUUGACAUUAUUAGGAAAUGUUGUGCUAAUAAACAUAGUAAGAUUACUUAAGCGGCCUUGAAGCGAUCAAUCUGGAUGCUCUCAGUUUGGAGCUUCUUGUAAUCACUUCUGUUUCUUGCAGCAAAGAACUUGCCCCAAUUGUACUUUUUGUAACAAGGCGGGUUGUCUUCGCUUAUAAGCUCCUUCAAUGGCUCAAUGUUGGUAUCGUGGGAUGGGAAAAGGAAGAAUGGCAUUGAGAAUCUCUCUUUGCUUGAAUUCACUACCACUCUAUGUUCUGCACUCCAAUACUUGUCAUUUGUCCAUACCUACUCCACACAACAAAUAUUAUAUGACCAAGUUACAUUAGACCCCAAAAUAUUUCGAGUUAAUAUAUAUACACAUAGACCCCUAAAUUGUUAAUUUUUUUUUAUUAAAUUGAUUUAAGUCCUCUAAAAUGUCAGGGUCAGCCCAAUAUAACCAGAUAACAUUCGAAGUUGACGUCUUUUACCUGCAUGCAGUUGCCAAUGUUAAUGAUGAAAGCAUCAGGGUUGGGUUUCACAGAGAACCAUUGUCCAUCUGAUCUACGGCUCACUUGUAACCCACCCACACUAUCUUGUGCCAAGACGGUUAUAACUCCUGCGUCUGCGUGGCGUCCAACGCCUAAUGCUAGCUCCGGGUUCGGGCAAGGAGGGUAAUGGUUAAACCGCAAAAAGCUUGUUUGGUCCUUGAAGUAACCUGUUAACCGAUCACCGGGUAGACCCAAGCUAAUGGAGAUAAGUUCCAAAAGCUUGAAAGCUAACUUCUCAACUUCUCUUGCAUAUUCUUGGCACACCUCUCUACCAAACAUGAUUAGUAUUAAUUAAACUUCAUAAUAAAUGGAUCCUAAUUAGGCCCAAUGGGCCUUAAUUAAAGCCUUGUUUUAAAGCGUGUUUUUAGAGAAUCACCUGAAGUCGGAAGGGUUUUGAGGCCACGGGUUAGUCAGCUUCCUGAGCUCGGUAUCUUCCGGCUCUGUAGUCGCCGGAACCGUCGUCGAGUCCUGCAGAAAGAAAUCGAAAAUCUCUUUCCAGUCUCUAACGUUUUUGGUAUGUUCUCCGUCGUGAUAACCCAUAGGGUUCACUUCAUCUCUUUUCACUCUUCUCUUCUCCUCCAACGUUAGACUGAAAAACUCGGCCACCGUCUUCUCCACCCUACGCAUUAAGUCCAACGACAAACCAUGGUUGAUCACCUGGAAAAAGCCCCAUCUCAUGCAUGCUUCUGCAAUCUCUGCCGCUAGCGCUGUCUUGUCGCAGUGUGGGUCUUGGAGAGAGGAGAGAUCGAUGGUCGGGAUCUCGUUGGAGAGAAUGUAGUCACCGGAGUUUGUGAGAUGAGUUUUGGGUCUGUGUUCUGGAGCUUGGAUAAAAGCUUCGUCGAGUACUCCCAUGGUGUUUUUUUGUCGGUGAUUCUUAUGUUUAUCUUUUAAGGCUUUGGAAGAUAUCUGAUGAUUCUUGUGGUGCAUGCGGUUGGGUUUGUUUUAUAGGAAGAUGUCACGUGUAACAAAACGCUUUUAUUGGUAUGAUGAAUGUAGACACGUUUCUGUGAACAAUUAACUUUUUUCACAUUUGGUUAAUUAGGAAUUACAGUCAUGCCAGUUGUUGAAAGAGGACCAAAAUAAGCCAAAGAUGUAUGUAGACGGAGGAUAUUCAUAAAGUUCAUGAGCGUUUAAUAUAGACUAUAGAUGCCCCUUCUUGAAAAAAAAAAUUAACCAUUUUUUAUUUUUGCAAACAACCAUUACAAAAUGAGAGGAGGAUUAGUUCACAAGAAAAUAGUUCUGAAUCUAGACGGAAUCUUGGAAGGGUGGAGGAUGUGAUAGUGCCGGUCCGGACUCUUUCGACGCCUAAAGCGGAAAAAAUGUAUGCCCUUUAACUAUAAUUAAAAAAUUACGAUAUUUAAACAUGUAAUCAAAAUGGUACCAUAUAUUACUAAAAUUUAAAGUUGUUUAAAAUAAUAAAAACAUAAUCGGUAUGUCAUCUUAUAUAUUAUUUAUUUACAGUUUCAAUUGAGUAAUUUUCAAUUCUAUUUUUCUGAUAGUAUUUCCUAUAAAUAAAAAAUGAAAUAUAUAAAAUCAAGAAUAACUUAUGAUAAAAUUCACUUUAACUUCAACUUCACUUUGUAGAAUUUUAUUGGGUUUGGUAGUCUCAUAGAAUCUUAGAACCCUAUAAUAAUUUAUUUGUUUGCUUGGAUUUUAAACGUUACUACAAAAAUUAAUUACAAAAACCUACAAAAAAAGAAGUAAGAAGCAAUAAUAAAAAUUUAAUACGAGAUGCAGCUAUACUACUAAAAUCAAUCGCAAUGAAACGUGGAAAUAUAUGCACAAUUUAUAGUUCAAGUUAUUUGUUAUAACAUUUUUUGUUAACAGAACAAAACUGGAAAGAAGAUGUCUUUUAAUAAAAAAGGAAAAGACUACUAAGGUGGACGCAUACUUCCGAACCUGUCAGCUGUAGGACGAUAGAAUAAGUUGAGAGGACACUAGACCAAAGUGAAUUUCUUCCAAAUUGGCGCCCCUAAUGUCAAAUAUUCUUGGCGCCUGAAGCCAAUGCCUUAUGGGCUUUAGCCCAGGGCCAGCUCUGGAUGUGAUAUACGCAAGUCAAAUCUUAUUGGAUACUUGGAUCUCGAUCCGAAGUCUUAGAGUAGCAUUAUCCCUGAAACUCACUUAAGGGUGAUUAAAAAAAAAAAAAAUUAAAAAGUGCACCAAUCGCGGACCGUCACCGACCGCCACAUGUCGGUGGGAUCCGCGAACAGUACAAGAAACCCACCACAAUCGGUCCUUAUUUCAUGACUUUAGAGAUUGGUUUUUAUGGUUUAGUGGGGCCCACACAUUGCUUUUUUGAAAGAAACCCCUUUUAGAAACUCCAAUAAUGCUGCUUUUACAGCAUGAUUAACCCAGGUUCUUAAGAUGAGGUUCUUAGCUUCAGAUAACAACCGUUUCUUACCUUUUCUUAGUUUUUAACUAAGAAAAACUAAGAACCGUCUCUUAAAUAAGAGAUAUAGGAGCCGGUUCUUAGCCAAAAAAUGUAAAAAAAAUAAAACUUUGUGUCAAAUCAUGAGUUAAGAACCCCAAAUUAAGAACCCGGGUUAAUUAUGCUCUUAUAUAUUUGUCAAAAAAAAAAAAUUAUGACAUGAUUUUAAAGAACAUAUCAUAUAUUGUUUCCGACAUAAACUCAGUCUCUCACAUAUUAUUACAUUAAGGGCUUGCAUCAUAGCUUUGGUAAUAAAAAGUAGACACAUAGUACAUACUCUUAAUUAAGGAUCUGACUGGUUUAUCCGUUACCAUCUGCAAACGCAGCUUUUGCGGUCGAUAGCGGUUGACAACGUUUUGAAACAAUCAUAUAAACCGUUACAAAUCGCUUCAAACCGCUUUGAACCUCUUAAAAUCAAAAGAUGGUUCCAGCUAGCGUUUGCGGUUGCGAGCGGUUGCGGAUGGAUAAAUAAAUAUAAAUUGUUUUUCAAAAAUAUUUAAAAAUUUAAAAUUAAAAUUUUGAAAUGAAAGUAUUAUAAAUAAAAAUAUAUACAUGUUUUAUAUAUUAAUUUAAAUUCACAAACAGUAUAAUAAUUUGUUUUAUAAAAACUUUAAACUAACUAACUAUUCAUUAGAAUUUUUAAAAAUUAAUAUACAUACAUAUUCUUUUAAAGUUUGAUAUAAAUCUUCAAAAAAAUUAUAACUUUCAACUAAUUUAAAAAAUUAAAUAAAAAAAUAUAGUAAUAUUAUUAAUCAUAUUAUAUUGAUAAUUAUUAUAUUUUAUUACAAUAGUAUGUUUUUAUAUUUUUAUAAUGUUAUCCUUUAUAUAUUAAAAGAUAAGCAUUGUAAUGAAUGCAUUCACACUAUAGUAGACAUGUGGCAGCCUCUCAAUGAUUUGAUAAUAAGUAUGUUAAUGCGUUCACACUAUAUUCAUAAAUGUGUUCACACUAUGUACUUUGCAUUUUUUUAAUAUAAAAUUCACAUACAUGGUUCCAAUAAAACUCUGGAUUUUUCGGUUCGAAUAAAAAUAGAUAACGAAUCAAAAGCCAAACUAUAUAUAUAUUAUUUUUUAUUGUUUAUGGAUAAAGUUGAGAAAAAUAUUCUUAAAUUUUGAUUCUAUUCGUUAUCCGUUUUGAUUUGAACCAAAAAAUCUGGAUAUCCGUAACUGUACGAAACAAAUCAAAUACAAAAAUAAAAUAUCCCAAAAAGAAGCAAAUCACAAAUACCAAUAUUUUUAGGAACAUAUAUCUAAUUUGAUAUGUUAUAUGCAUAUAUAUACAUAUAUGUAAAGAAUUAUAUAUAUAUAUAUACGUUAUAUAUUAUACUUUAUAUCAGUUUUACAAUAUUUUUAUGAAUUAAAUUUAUUAUAUUAGGUACUUAAAUUUAAAAUUUUAAAUAAUGUUUUAUUUUUGUAAUAAAAUGUUAUUAUUUAAAUUUUCAAUUAUUUUUAAAAUUUUAUUUUAUUUACGGAUCAAAUCGGAUAUUCUUUAAAAUUCUAAAAUAUUUCAUAUAUCUGAGUCACCGAAUAUCUUGGUUGCUAAAGAUCGAAUUGACACGAAUGCUUCCAAAUACCCAGAUAUUCGAUUUGUGUCCACUCCUAUUUACGGAUACUGUUUUAUUUUCUUUAUAUGAAAAAAUGACUAAUGUCAAGGCCUUUUUAUUUUAAAUUAAUUUUAAUUUUAUCUUUCAUGUAUUAUUUUGACAAAAAUAUCAUUUAAUAUUAAUUAACAAUAUCUUUAUAUAUUUGUCAACUAUUUUUAUAUACUUUUUACAUACACAUACAUGUGCACUUUGAUGUGAGCACCUUGUAACUAAGUAUUCACCACAACUGAAGUAUCUAAUUUUUUUGAAAGUUAAAAUAUUUUUCUUAAUGCUUCUUUCACUACCGAGCAAAUUGUAGUGAAAUGAUUUGUCUUAAAAAAUUUCUUUUUCUUAAACUAUUAUCGGUUUAGAAACUCUAAUAUGAAAUUGGUUCGAUACGACAACUAUCUAAAAUUCAUAACAUGAAAAUAAACAAAUAAUAUUAAUUUUUGGUUUUUACCGGAAAAAACCAAAAAAUCAAACAUUUUAGCCGAAUAAACUAAAAUGAAUAUUAAUUUAAAAUAAUAGUAAUAUUUUAGAAGAUUAAAAGCCAAAAAAAAAACUUAAAACCGAACCAAUAUCCAGAUUAAACAGAUUUAAUGUCUUUAUAUAAAAAAUAACGAAACUAAUAAUCACAUCCCGCGCAAAGCGCAUGUUAUUACCUAGUAAUAUAUUAAUAUUGGUAAUUUAUUAUUAAACCGGUGCAAUAUCUUAUAAUCAACCAGUCACAAAUAUACCGCAAACACAACAAUUUUCAAACGUUGUACCAGUCAUACAAAACGCUUAAUAACACUUGAAAAUGCAACCACCCGCAUCCGCAAUCGCAACCGCUGCAUUUGAACCAAUCAGAGCCUAAGUUAUAAGGUUUCAGGACUCACUCUUCUAAUGGCUUCACUUCCACAUCAUGUGAAGGCAUCAAGAAGAAUGCUAUUUUUUUUCUCUUGGUGUACCAAUAAUCCCCACCACUCUAGGUUCUACAUUCCAAUACUUAUCAUUCAUGAUUCAUCCAUACCUAGUAGAAUUGAUAUCAAUACUAUUAAAACAGAAGGCCCUUUUUUUAGGUGCCCUUCUGUUUCAACAAUACUUACAGAUACAAGCCACUGAAGUAUUUAAAACCUAUGGUUUUUAUUUAAUUCUGUAUUUUCCAAUUUUACUUUUAAUUAACCAUAUUCGUUUUUGGUUUAGAUCUUCAUGGGUUGGGUGCGAUUCUGAUGGUAUGGAAAAAAGGGCUUCACUUUUUGUGGUUUUCGAAUGGUUGUGACUCGAGAUUUCGAGCUCCAGUAUAUAGAAACAAAGGAGGUUCGGAAGAUCUGUGAGAUCAGGGGCGGAUCUACUUAAGGUAAGUAUGGGGCAGUUGUCCCCCAUGAAAUUUAAAACUUUCCUUUAAAUGAUGAGUAUAUAUUUUAGUUGCCCCCAUUGAAAAAAUAAUUUCUGCCCCCGUAACAAAAUCUGUUUUCAAUGCUCAGUUCAAAAUCUCCAUUAUUUCCAUCUUUUACGAGGCCAUUUAUGAUAUUUCUAUUAGAAUUAUUAUGUUUCCAUAUUUGAUUUACGAACAUUAAACCAUUGUUUCCGUUUUAUAUAAUAAAUAAAAUCAAUUUGUGUUUGUUUUUUUUUUUUGUUUUUUGAACUUAAGAAAAUCAACUUGUUGCUUAAAAAUAAGUAGUUUUAUAACAUCAAAUAAAUAUCUAUUUAUUUAAUAAGUUAUAAUAAUCAGUUUUCUUUACUUUAUCAUAAUAUAUGCAAUGACAAUAAAAAUAUUAUUUUCAUUUUAGUUUUUCAUAUAUAAUUAUUAGUCCAUGAUUGAGAAAGAAAACACUAUUUAGGAAAAAAAUUAUAUGAUCUGAAUAUAUAUACUUGUAUUUUUCAUAUCAUGAAAAACGUGACUUUUUAUAUUUAUAAUUUCUGAUAUUUUUUAUUUUGUAAUUCAAUUAUAUAAGAACAGUUUUAGUUUUCCAUACAAUGGAUCUUGUAUAAUACACUUAUAAGUUGAUAGAAAAUAUAUUUAUAAAAUAUUUAAUACAAAUUUUGUUAAUGAUUAUUAACUGUUUGUCCCCGGUAAACUUUUCGGCUAGAUCCGCCACCGCGUGGGAUUGAUAUGGAUUGUGGUAUCACUACUGAAGGUUUUGUCAAGAUUCAUGGAAUCUCCGAUGUUAUUCGAUUCGAUUGAUCUUUUCAAAUUGCUCUAGUUAUUCACUCUCAUGAUUGAAGUGGGGAAAGAAUCUCUAAAGAGGGAAGAAAAUCUAUUAGAAGUAAUGGCUUCCGGGAUCACAUCAAAACAAAGGUUUCUCUAAUCUGUUUCUUUCUGAUGCAGAACAAGAGAAACAAAAUCAAAGGUAUAGUAGGCUCGACCUAGGCUACACAGUGUAUGGUUUUUUGGAAUGUACAGGUCAUCUCUUUAUUGUUGCAGUGCAGAAGGGUAAUGGCAUAUGUUGGGUCUGUUAAUGUAUUGUGGUUGUCUUUUGGUUUUUGCACGUUAUGUUCUUUGGGACUGUCAUGGAUCUGAACAUACAGAGAUAUAGAGUUUAUGUCUCUGGUUUACGUGGGCUAAGGUGGGGAGAAAGAAUAAAGAAAUCCUCACUGGAGUUUGGUUUCCUGAGACAAUAACUAUUCAUGUUUGGAUUUUAUAUGCAUGAGUUUUAUGCCAACUGACACAAUUUGGUCAAUCGAAGUGGCUGGUGAUUUGGAGAAGAGUGAUGGAGGGGCUAAGAUUCAGUCCCAUGAAGGAUGGUUUAUGAUAUUGGUUGAAUUUGUGGUACAUCAUUGGUGUUUUCUAGGUGCAGAUUAUUUUGGAAAGAGUCAAAAAGACACUUUCGUUUCCAAAAUUAAACAUGUAUUGUCUAAUAAUUGUGUUAACUUUGUUGUGUAAGUCCAUAUAUCGUUUGGUAAAAAAACAAUAUCUGGGUAUUUGUUUCUUUUGUCAAAAAUAAGUAUUUAUUUAUUUUAUUUAGAAUGGUCACUGUAUUUAUAUAAUUUUUAAACUGCAUCAUUGAAAUAAUGUGUUUUAAAUUGUAUUAAUAUUGUUGUUUCCAACAUAUAAAUACAUGUAGCUAUAUAAUGGCUUCUUAUUUAGAUUAUUUAUUUUUUAACAAUUUUGUAUGUAAUUACAUUUUAAAUUGUACUGAUAUUGUUGUUAAAUUUAUUCUUUUUAAAUAAGAUAGAUUGAUAGAAGACCUGUGUAAGUGUGAUAAAAGAGAUGAUAAAUUACUAAGAAGUGAAAUUAUAUUUAUAUUUACGAUGAAACUAAUAUUUACAAUGAAAAUGUUUAAAUAAAUUGUUUCAUAAAUAUAGAACACAAUUCUCAUUCCAUAUAAAUAUAUAUAGUUGGAUUAACAUAGACGUAAAAGAUCAAACUAGGACUGGGUAAAAAAUCUGAAUUCAAGGAAUCGAACCGAAUCUAAUCCGAAAUAUAAUAUUGAAUCCAAACCAAAAUUGGUUAAAUAUUCAAAUGGGUUCAAAAUUUUAGUAUAUAGAGAACCAAAACCAAAUCCGACUCAAACCUAAGUAUUUUGGGUAUCCAAGUUUAUCCGAAAUAGAUUUAUAUACUUAAAUAUAUUAAUUAUUUUAUAUUUAAUAUAUUAAAUAUCUAAAAUAUAUAAGAUUUUUUUUUCUAACGGCUUAUAAGAUAUUUUGAAGUUAUCCGAAUAUUUGAAAAUAUUUAAAAUAGUUAAAAGUAAAUGUCUAAAAUAGCUAAACAAUUUUCAAAACGCUAAACAAUUUUCAAAACACUAAAAAUAUUUAAAAUAUUUAUUGAUUCUCUAUCCAAAUAUUCAAUACAAAUCAAUUUAUAUGUUAAAUUUAGGUAUUUUAGCAAAUAUUUUUCAAAUUUAAAUGUAAUAUAUUGUUUUUAUUUUUAAAUUUUGAGAAAUUUAAAGAUAUAUAAAUUUAAAUUUUAAAAAAUAAUUUAAACGGGUUAUCGGAACACGAACUGAACCUGCAGUAAAGAUCUGAAGCGAAUCUGAACCAAAAUUUAGAAAUAUCUGAAUCGAGCUAAAAUUUGUAAUUUCAAAAACCCAAAACCUAAGUAGACCUGAAACGAAUCCAAAUUGGUACACGAACGCUCACCGUAGAUCACACAUUGAAAUCUAAAUGUUUUGUCUCUCAUUAAAUCGAAGUAAAAUAUAAUUAAAUUAAUAAUUUAAUUGAAAUUAUAUCAUGCGCUUUCAAAGCGCGGAUCAAUAUCUAGUAGUCAUUAUAAUUAGAUACUGCAUGUGUAUAUCUUAGAAAAAUGAGAAGUAAUAUCUAGAAUUUCACCUCCAUUGUAAUCCUCCAACUUUGUCUUGAGCCAAUAGACCGUGGGCAUGGUGGAUAACGAUUUAUCCUUAAGAAAACUCAUUUGAUCUUUAAAGUAAUCAUGGAAUGAGUUCUAAAAGCCUGAAUGCUAGCUUUUCAGUGUGUCUUACGUACUCGUCACAUGCCUCCCUAAAACUAAAUAAGAAAAAAGAGAUUAACUUGCAUAGUUGAAAAUAAAUUCUUUUACCGAAUUGCUUGUAUGCUAUGUCCUACAUGUAAGUUGUAACUUGUAAUAUUAAUGCAGCCUUGGAAGAUAGCGUUCACGUGCAUCCAGUAGAGUUGUGUACUUGUGUAAAGUGAUAAGAUUCUGAUCAUAUUGGUUAACUUUAGUUUUUUUUUUUUUUGUAACAAACACUUAUAUUAAACACACUAACCAAAGUUAGGUGGAGUUAUAAUGGCAAGUUCAACAGCCAAGCAUUGUUUAGCUAGAUUAUCAGCAUACCUGUUACUCUCACGAGAAAUCCUGGACCAAGAAAAUCACUCAAACGAGGAAACAGCAGAGAUGAUAUCUGUAAUUACUCCAAACACUUCAGUAAAAGAAGAGCCCAAAUUGAUUGCUUUAACUAGUUGCGCCAAGUCAGAUUCGCAUCUGGUAUUGGGAGGCCAAGAUUCCUGCACUUAAAAAUUGCCUCACGAAGCGCCAAAGCUUCAGCCGCAAGAGGGGAUGUCACAUGUCGAUAAAGAGCAGAGAAAAAGGAUAUUCUGUUUUGGUUUUCAAUUGUCCAACCAAGCCCCACCAUAUGGUGAUUCUCAUUCCACAAAAUAUCGAUUUUAACAAGGACACGGUUAAAACCGAUAUGUUUGGAAUGAGAGUAAAUGGAGACUGAUGAUUGCAUACUAUGCUAUAGAUGCUUAUUCUAUUUAUAGUUUUCAUAGAAUAAGCAGAGAAAAAAAUUCAGGAAUAAUUAAGAAGAAAGAUAAAGUGAUUCGGCUAUAGAAAAUUGGUAAUGUAUAUAUAUUUUGUGAGACUGAUGAUUGCAUAUUAUGUUUUUUUUUGGACCACAGCUUCUUUUCAUUAACUUCAACUUGCUUGAUUACAAAUGCUAGAGGAAAUUAUCCAUCCUCUAUGAUUGAAAACAUAAACUACAACAACAUAAAAUAAAAAGGUUAGGCCUUCAAAAGAAGAUGACAGCGAAAUCAAGACGGUGUUUGAAUGAGUCGUAGCCUUUACGACAUGCUUGGACAGAAGAAAGAUAGUCACUUUGAAUUGUGACGUUGACGUUGAUUAAUAUAAAUUCAUUAAUCAAGAUAUUUAAAAUAUUUUUCAAAUAUUCACUCUGCAUCACUUUUAAGAGGUUGGAGAAGUAAAACAUGAGUCAUGUUCAUUGACAUUAUUAGGAAAAGCAGCAACCAUGGUGGUCUCGGGUUUUUAGUUUGGCAAUUCCUUCCUGCGUCCGAUGUUGUUCAAUUGGUUCUUGAAGACAUCCCAAGCAACGACAUCAACUGCUUCAAGGCGAAGCCUCUUCUACCCUAAGCCCCUGCUUUCAAGGAGUAUUCACUUCUUCCGUUCUUCAAUUCCUUCCUCCUAAGCUCCGGUCCUUGUUUUUGUGUUUCCUGAGGCCAACGCUGUUCCCAUUGUGUCGCGUAGCCGGAUAGGGGGCCAUUUCGACCGUCUGCGCUUGACCGAAACCAAUGCUUCAUCUUCAUAUGGCGUUGAAAUCGGGUCUACAUGAUAGCAAAUGGGAGCCAACCGUCAUGCCUGCUUGGAGCCACUUCGGUGAGACCUGACUCUACUUCUCUUAUGGCUUUAUUCUUGUUGUCUCUGGUUGCUCCAGUCUUCGAGAAGUGCUUGGAGGGGGAGAUCAAUUGUUAGUCUUUUGUUCUAGUUUGGUAUUAUGUUCAAAGCCUCCAUUGUUUGGUUAAGAUUUGAUCAUAAUUUCUUUGUGGUUUAGCGGUUUUUUUUAAACUUUUUUGCACUUCUAAACUUUCAGAAUAGCUGAAAAGGAGAUUGUGGUUCCAUCAAAAUGUAACCAAACUUUCAUUCUUGCACUGAUAUUUACAAUCUUAGCAAAAAAAAGAAGGAAUAAUGGUUAUAAAAACAGAAAAAAUAAUAGUAGUGUGUUGACUCUAUCUUUGUUUUCUUGAUUUUUAAUGAUGGAUAUGACGAUGAAGGUUUUGAUUUUUGAUUAUAGUACUGUAAAAACAUUAUAAUGAUAAGCUAUAGAUUUUUAAAAGGUCUAAUUAAUGGCCUUUUUAUACAAAUGUAGUAGAAUAAAAGGCCAUAUUCUUCGAUAAUGCGUACUAACUACUAUUAUUUUUUCUGUUUAUACAUGGCAUCAAUUACAAUGUUCAUUAAGAAGUCCAAUUAUAAUACGUAUAAAUUUAGGUUUAUCAUGUAUAAAUCUAGUGAUGCCAUGUAUAAAUCCAGGCUGCAUUAUGUAUAGAUUCGGCUGGAGAUUCUUAAAUCAUUUUACGUUGUUUGACACAUAACUUCCGUCAUCCCUAAUUAGGUAGUCUUUCUAGCAAGGCGGGUCUUGUACGUAUCGAAUGGUUUAACCUUCCCUUCUUGUGAUGGGAGGAAGAACAAUGGUAUUAAGAAUGUAUCUUUGUGCUCUAUGUUCUGUAAAUUCCUGGGUAAUUAAGUGCUUCUUUAUUUAUUAUAUAUUUCAACUACAUAUUGAUAUAGAAGUAAACACAUGAGUCAUGUUCAUUGACAUUAUUAGGAAAUGUUGUGCUAAUAAACAUAGUAAGAUUACUUAAGCGGCCUUGAAGCGAUCAAUCUGGAUGCUCUCAGUUUGGAGCUUCUUGUAAUCACUUCUGUUUCUUGCAGCAAAGAACUUGCCCCAAUUGUACUUUUUGUAACAAGGCGGGUUGUCUUCGCUUAUAAGCUCCUUCAAUGGCUCAAUGUUGGUAUCGUGGGAUGGGAAAAGGAAGAAUGGCAUUGAGAAUCUCUCUUUGCUUGAAUUCACUACCACUCUAUGUUCUGCACUCCAAUACUUGUCAUUUGUCCAUACCUACUCCACACAACAAAUAUUAUAUGACCAAGUUACAUUAGACCCCAAAAUAUUUCGAGUUAAUAUAUAUACACAUAGACCCCUAAAUUGUUAAUUUUUUUUUAUUAAAUUGAUUUAAGUCCUCUAAAAUGUCAGGGUCAGCCCAAUAUAACCAGAUAACAUUCGAAGUUGACGUCUUUUACCUGCAUGCAGUUGCCAAUGUUAAUGAUGAAAGCAUCAGGGUUGGGUUUCACAGAGAACCAUUGUCCAUCUGAUCUACGGCUCACUUGUAACCCACCCACACUAUCUUGUGCCAAGACGGUUAUAACUCCUGCGUCUGCGUGGCGUCCAACGCCUAAUGCUAGCUCCGGGUUCGGGCAAGGAGGGUAAUGGUUAAACCGCAAAAAGCUUGUUUGGUCCUUGAAGUAACCUGUUAACCGAUCACCGGGUAGACCCAAGCUAAUGGAGAUAAGUUCCAAAAGCUUGAAAGCUAACUUCUCAACUUCUCUUGCAUAUUCUUGGCACACCUCUCUACCAAACAUGAUUAGUAUUAAUUAAACUUCAUAAUAAAUGGAUCCUAAUUAGGCCCAAUGGGCCUUAAUUAAAGCCUUGUUUUAAAGCGUGUUUUUAGAGAAUCACCUGAAGUCGGAAGGGUUUUGAGGCCACGGGUUAGUCAGCUUCCUGAGCUCGGUAUCUUCCGGCUCUGUAGUCGCCGGAACCGUCGUCGAGUCCUGCAAAAAGAAAUCGAAAAUCUCUUUCCAGUCUCUAACGUUUUUGGUAUGUUCUCCGUCGUGAUAACCCAUAGGGUUCACUUCAUCUCUUUUCACUCUUCUCUUCUCCUCCAACGUUAGACUGAAAAACUCGGCCACCGUCUUCUCCACCCUACGCAUUAAGUCCAACGACAAACCAUGGUUGAUCACCUGGAAAAAGCCCCAUCUCAUGCAUGCUUCUGCAAUCUCUGCCGCUAGCGCUGUCUUGUCGCAGUGUGGGUCUUGGAGAGAGGAGAGAUCGAUGGUCGGGAUCUCGUUGGAGAGAAUGUAGUCACCGGAGUUUGUGAGAUGAGUUUUGGGUCUGUGUU
rnacentral:lncRNA from 1 species